UCGGUGUGUACAAGACCCGGGAACGUAUUCACCGCAGCAUUCUGAUCUGCGAUUACUAGCGAUUCCAGCUUCGUGUAGUCGGGUUGCAGACUACAGUCCGAACUGAGACGUUAUUUUUGGGAUUUGCUCCACCUCACGGUCUCGCUUCCCUUUGUUCACGCCAUUGUAGCACGUGUGUAGCCCAAGUCAUAAGGGGCAUGAUGAUUUGACGUCAUCCCCACCUUCCUCCGAGUUGUCCCCGGCAGUCUCAUUAGAGUGCCCACCAUUACAUGCUGGCAACUAAUGACAAGGGUUGCGCUCGUUGCGGGACUUAACCCAACAUCUCACGACACGAGCUGACGACAACCAUGCACCACCUGUCUCCCCUGUCCCGAAGGAAAGGUGACAUUACUCACCGGUCAGCGGGAUGUCAAGGGCAGGUAAGGUUCUUCGCGUUA
rnacentral:misc_RNA from 1 species